rnacentral:rRNA from 1 species
UAGGUUUUCGGACCUAGAGACCGGCGCACGGGUGCGUAACGCGUAUGCAAUCUACCUUUUACAGAGGGAUAGCCCAGAGAAAUUUGGAUUAAUACCUCAUAGUAUUACGACUCGGCAUCGAGAUGUAAUUAAAGUCACAACGGUAAAAGAUGAGCAUGCGUCCCAUUAGCUAGUUGGUAAGGUAACGGCUUACCAAGGCAACGAUGGGUAGGGGUCCUGAGAGGGAGAUCCCCCACACUGGUACUGAGACACGGACCAGACUCCUACGGGAGGCAGCAGUGAGGAAUAUUGGUCAAUGGGCGCAAGCCUGAACCAGCCAUGCCGCGUGCAGGAUGACGGUCCUAUGGA